rnacentral:rRNA from 1 species
UACGUAGGUGACAAGCGUUGUCCGGAUUUACUGGGCGUAAAGAGCGCGCAGGCGGUCGAUCAAGUCGAGUGUGAAAGCCCCCGGCUCAACUGGGGAGGGUCAUUCGAUACUGAUCGACUCGAAGGCAGGAGAGGAUAGUGGAAUUCCCGGUGUAGUGGUGAAAUGCGUAGAUAUCGGGAGGAACACCAGUGGCGAAGGCGACUACCUGGCCUGUUCUUGACGCUGAGGCGCGAAAGCUAGGGGAGCAAACGGGG